CACACACACACGCGCACGCGUACAGCACUGCCUGGAUGCAGAGGUCAGAAAACAACUUGUGAGAGUCAGUCAGUUCUUUCCUUCCACCCUGUGGGACCUGACAGUUGAACUCAGGUCAUCAGGCUUAGUAGUUCAUGUCUCUACCCAUGGAGCAAUCCCCCAAGACUUUUGGGCUACCGAAGUGGCCAGUCUCACUGGCUGAUUCAGCAAGUGCGAGCCUCCACAGUGACAUUUCCUUCAACCAAACCACACCCACUCCAACGAGGCCACGCCUCCUAAUAGUACUGAAUGCUGCUACCUUUGGAGGCCAAUGCCUUUCAAUCCACCAUGUAGCCUAUCCAAAAGGAACUCUGCAACUGGCUUUAAAAGAGGAAAAUAGACCAAUAGACUGGGAGGUAACGAAGCACGCCUUUAGUUCCAGCACUCAGGAGGCAGAGGCAGGUGGAUCUCUGAGUUCCAGGCCAGCCUGGUCUACAGAGCGAGUUUAAGGACAGCCAGGGCUACAUAGAGAAACCCUGUCUCGAAAAACCAAAAGGAAAAUUUUCUUCUAUUUGUUGAUAAUAAAACCACUUAUCAUUGAGAACUUUUCAGAGUCUGUGUAGAGUCCAAAGGACCUAAAAGGUGACCCGUUUCUUUUCAUUUGUGAAAUGGACAUGAAAAAUCUUGAACGGUAGUAGAUCCUUUCUGAGUGUUAGAAACUCCAAGAAGUUGACUAGGAACAAAGUAGAAAUAGACUGGCACUCUUUAUUAAACUGUCUGCCUAGUGUGAGAUGAUACCUGUCUUUCUACUCACUGGGUGUGUGCUGAGCAGGACGAAGGCUGAGCAUGAGUGCCAAUUGGUGGGAGGCCCGAGCACUAAUGUCUUCUGGAAGCAGCAGCCUCUUCAGGUCAAAAGCAAGAGACAGCGAGCAUUCUCCUGUUUUCUAUUUCCAUGACAUAUCUCUUCUAUGUGGGGCCAGUGGCCUCACAACUGCCAAGUCAUCCUCAUACUUACAAAUUAUAAAACUGGAGGGUCAAAGAAAGUAAAUUAGCUGAGGAGAAUCAGAGGAUAUUAAAGGAGGGAAGUGGAGUUUGACCAAAACAA
rnacentral:lncRNA from 1 species